rnacentral:rRNA from 1 species
UACGUAGGGUGCAGGCGUUAAUCGGAAUUACUGGGCGUAAAGCGUGCGUAGGUGGUGAGUUAAGUCUGUCGUGAAAGCCCCGGGCUCAACCUGGGAAUGGCGAUGGAUACUGGCUCGCUAGAGUGCGGUAGAGGAGAGUGGAAUUCCCGGUGUAGCAGUGAAAUGCGUAGAGAUCGGGAGGAACAUCAGUUGCGAAGGCGGCUCUCUGGACCAGCACUGACACUGAGGCACGAAAGCGUGGGGAGCAAACAGG